rnacentral:rRNA from 2 species
UCUCCUGGAAACGGGUGGUAAUGCCGGAUGCUCCAGUUGAUCGCAUGGUCUUCUGGGAAAGCUUUCGCGGUAUGGGAUGGGGUCGCGUCCUAUCAGCUUGACGGCGGGGUAACGGCCCACCGUGGCUUCGACGGGUAGCCGGCCUGAGAGGGCGACCGGCCACAUUGGGACUGAGAUACGGCCCAGACUCCUACGGGAGGCAGCAGUGGGGAAUAUUGCACAAUGGGCGCAAGCCUGAUGCAGCGACGCCGCGUGAGGGAUGGAGGCCUUCGGGUUGUAAACCUCUUUUAUCGGGGAGCAAGCGAGAGUGAGUUUACCCGUUGAAUAAGCACCGGCUAACUACGUGCCAGCAGCCGCGGUAAUACGUAGGGUGCAAGCGUUAUCCGGAAUUAUUGGGCGUAAAGGGCUCGUAGGCGGUUCGUCGCGUCCGGUGUGAAAGUCCAUCGCUUAACGGUGGAUCCGCGCCGGGUACGGGCGGGCUUGAGUGCGGUAGGGGAGACUGGAAUUCCCGGUGUAACGGUGGAAUGUGUAGAUAUCGGGAAGAACACCAA